GCUCCCUCCCACGAGGGGUUGAGCACAAUGGGUUCGAAUGAGUGGAGUUUGUCCCUGCCGGCGCCAAAGUGGCCAGCUAGCUCCAGUGCCCACACUCCAGUUCCCGCCUGUGAAGGGGUCAGGGGAAAUUUCCUGCUCAUUUAUGGGGCCUCAUUUGGGAUACGUCAGCAGGCCCCCAUGGCCUGGUGUUUGGUCUGAUCACCCCAACAUUUCUGGCACCCAACGUGGGGCUAUGAAGACCCCAGUGAAGGAACACUAGAGCAUGCGGAACUGGAGGACGCAUUGUCAGAGGACACCCGAGGAUGACUGAAAGAAGCUCGGUGGGAAAGCUGAGCACUCGGAAGAAACAGGGUAACAACAGGACAGAAUGAAACAAGCAGUACAACAAGGCAUUCCCCUUUCUAUAUCACUCAUAUGAGAGCACAUACUAACCUCCCUGGACCUUUAACUAAACUUAAUCAAAGGGUGGAUAAUUACAUGGGGAAGAGGAUUUGUUUGUGUUUAUCCAGGUGACAAUCAGGUGCCUGUGUGGGUGCCCACCAAACAUCUGAAGAUCUAUUAUGAGCUACAGCAGGAAGAGAGGACUCUGGGAAGAGCCAGAUAUAAGCAAUGUCACAAAUAAACAUCUCAGAGAUGAAGGAGAAAACCAAUCUCCCCAAAACAAUGCCCCCUGUCAGCAAGAAGUAGCUAUGAUCAGUCAUCGUUCAUAUUCCAACAGCAGUUAGAUGUGCCUCUUCUGAGGCAGGGAGUGAUAGGGACAGGAGGCAAGGAAAUUCUGGGCAGAAGAGGGCAGGUGCCCAGUGAAGGCCCGAACCUGAAGCCUGGAACCACAGCCCAAAGUGAGAACAUGCAUUCCUGUUUUCCCGCUCAAAUGUUGCCUUUUCCAAAACCACCCAUGGCCCGCCCCCACACCUCAUCCUAUGCCCAUAAAAAACCCAGGUUCCACUGGCAGACAGCAGAGAAGAGGAGAAGCAUCUGGACAUCAGAGAGUACAGUUGGAUGUUGGAGAGAAGCAGCUUGACUUCACAGAGACGGCUUGAUGGCAUUGCUCCAGGGGAAGAUCACCUUCCUGCUCCAUCCCCUUUCCAGCUCCCCUUCCCACUGAGUGCCACUUUCAUCAACAAUAAAAUCCCCUGCAUUCAC
rnacentral:lncRNA from 1 species